rnacentral:rRNA from 1 species
AGAACACAGGUGCUGCAUGGCUGUCGUCAGCUCGUGUCGUGAGAUGUUGGGUUAAGUCCGCAACGAGCGCAACCCCUAUCAAUAGUUGCUCCCGGGUAAUGCCGGGCACUCGAUUGAAACUGCCGUUAGAAAACGGAGGAAGGUGGGGAUGACGUCAAAUCAUCAUGCUCUUUAUGUCUAGGGCUACACACGUGCUACAAUGACCGGUACAAAGGGCGGCAAGACCGCGAGGUGGAGCAAAUCCCAAAAAGCCGGCCAUAGUUCGGAUUGCAGUCUGAAACUCGACUGCAUGAAGCUGGAAUCACUAGUAAUCGCUGAUCAGCAACGCAGCGGUGAAUACGUUCCCGGGCCUU